AUUGAACGCUGGCGGCAUGCCUUACACAUGCAAGUCGAACGGUAGAGUAGCAAUACUUGAGAGUGGCGAACGGGUGAGUAAUGCAUCGGAACAUGCCCAGUCGUGGGGGAUAACGUAGCGAAAGUUACGCUAAUACCGCAUACGAUCUAUGGAUGAAAGCGGGGGACUCGCAAGAGCCUCGCGCGAUUGGAGUGGCCGAUGUCAGAUUAGGUAGUUGGUGGGGUAAAAGCCCACCAAGCCAACGAUCUGUAGCUGGUCUGAGAGGACGACCAGCCACACUGGGACUGAGACACGGCCCAGACUCCUACGGGAGGCAGCAGUGGGGAAUUUUGGACAAUGGACGAAAGUCUGAUCCAGCAAUGCCGCGUGCAGGACGAAGGCCUUCGGGUUGUAAACUGCUUUUGUACGGAGCGAAAAGCUUUGGAUUAAUACUCCGAGGUCAUGACGGUACCGUAAGAAUAAGCACCGGCUAACUACGUGCCAGCCGCCGCAGUAA
rnacentral:rRNA from 1 species